rnacentral:rRNA from 1 species
GAAGAUAGCCAUACCACCCUGAACACGCUCAUUUUCCUCUGAUCUUGGAAGCUAAGCAAGAUUGGGCCUGGUUAGUACUGGGAUGGGAGAAAACAUUGGUAUUUUGGUCU